rnacentral:rRNA from 1 species
GACGUAGGGUGCGAGCGUUGUCCGGAUUUAUUGGGCGUAAAGAGCUCGUAGGCGGCUCGUCGCGUCGUCCGUGAAAACCCGCGGCUUAACUGCGGGCUUGCGGUUGAUACGGGCGGGCUAGAGUUCGGUAGGGGAGACUGGAAUUCCUGGUGUAGCGGUGAAAUGCGCAGAUAUCAGGAGGAACACCGGUGGCGAAGGCGGGUCUCUGGGCCGAUACUGACGCUGAGGAGCGAAAGCGUGGGGAGCGAACAGG